rnacentral:lncRNA from 1 species
CGGAAUGGAGGAGAAAUUACAGCAAUUUAUCAGCUGAAAUUAUAGGUGUAGAUACACGUCGGCAGUGGAAGCAGACUCCAUGAAAAUUAAAGGAUUUAGAGCUUUUCCUCAAAUUUCA